rnacentral:rRNA from 1 species
UACGAAGGGGGCUAGCGUUGCUCGGAAUUACUGGGCGUAAAGGGCGCGUAGGCGGGUCGUUAAGUUAGAGGGGAAAGCCCAGGGCUCAACCCUGGAAUUGCCUUUAAUACUGUCGACCUUGAGUAUGGCAGAGGUGUGUGGAACUCCGAGUGUAGAGGUGAAAUUCGUAGAUAUUCGGAAGAACACCAGUGGCGAAGGCGACACACUGGGCCAUUACUGACGCUGAGGCGCGAAAGCGUGGGGAGCAAACAGG